UACGUAGGUGGCAAGCGUUGUUCGGAAUAACUGGGCGUAAAGGAUGCGUAGGCGGUUAAACAAGUUAUAUGUUAAAUAUAUAGGCUUAACCUGUAGAAAGCAUAUAAAACUGUUUAACUAGAGUGCAGGAGAGGUAAGUGGAAUUCCUAGUGUAGCGGUGAAAUGCGUAGAGAUUAGGAAGAACACCAGUGGCGAAGGCGGCCGCCUGGCCUGUUGCUGACGCUGAGGCACGAAAGCGUGGGGAGCAAAUAGG
rnacentral:rRNA from 1 species